rnacentral:misc_RNA from 1 species
UGUCCACACGUGGUAUCUACAUUACUCACUCACAGCAUUUUAUAUUCACAUUGACUUUGACCUUCACACCAAAACGACCUGUGAUAAAUCUUAGCGCGUAUUGUUGGACACUGCCCCCACAUUCCAUCUUUUCAACUUUGACCUGGACAUAUUUUGUCGGCGUGGCUGUUUUUCUUCAGUGUCAUCACAACAUCGACCAUGACCAGUACAAAAAGGGUUGCUGUGGUGACGGGGUCCAACAAGGGUAUUGGGUUUGCUGUCGUCCGAGGGUUGUGUAAAAGCUAUGAUGGUGAUGUCUGCCUGACAGCACGAGAUGAAGGUCGUGGCCAGGCAGCUGUUGCUGACCUCAACAAGGAAGGCUUGCGGCCCAAGUUCCAUCAGCUGGACAUCAACGACCAGUCAAGCGUAGAGCGACUGAAGUCAUUCCUACAGACCACCUACGGGGGAUUGGAUGUCUUGGUCAACAAUGCUGGAAUAGCAUACAGGAAUGCGGACCCAGCACCGUUUGCUGAGCAGGCUGAAUUUACCUGUAAAACCAACUUCUGGGCCACCCUGGAGUCUUCACGUAUACUGUUCCCACUCCUACGACCUCACGCCAGGGUUGUGAACGUGUCAAGCGUACUAGCUCACAGAGCCAUCAGUCAGUGUUCCCCCGCUGUUCAAGGUCGCUUCAGGGACCCUGCCCUUACAAUGGAUGGCCUGGAGAAAAUCAUGCAAGAGUUUGUUGAUGCUGCUAAGGCAGGUAAACAUCGGGAACAGGGGUUUCCGAGCUCAGCGUAUGGUGCAUCCAAGAUAGGGAAGAACAUCAUGACCAUCAUUCAGGAUAGGGACAUGAGGAACGACCCAAGAGAGGACAUUGUCAUCAAUGCGUGCUGCCCUGGUCAUGUGCAAACUGACAUGUCAAGACAGACAGGGUCAAAGAACAUUGAUGAAGGUGCUGACUCCAUAGUAUACCUUGCACUCCUGGCCAGGAACACUACAACCCCCAAAGGCAACUUUGUCGCUGACAGAACCAUUUUGCAAUGGUAAUAACUAUAUCAUUUUACACAUAAAACACUAGUAUGGUUCAACACACUCACUGCCCUGCUUGUCGGGGACCAGUGAAAUGUUUUAAAGAUUUGUAGAUUUCUUUUGAGUCACCUAAUCGUCUAAUUUUGCAUAAACUAGUCUGAAGUGAACAGUGGACAAGUUGGUUGCUUUUCUGCCUUUAUCAGCAGGUACAUGCACCUUACUCAGUCUAGUAGUUGUGUAUAAGUGCAUUUCAGACUUAAACAUCCUCUAGUAUGCAGUCAUUGAUAGAAAUUAGAAGUUGGAAGAACAUGAACGUAUGACACAUGUAUGGAUGAUGAUGGAACAAGAGGUAGCUCUGAAUAUUUGUGACAAAGAAUAAAAGAAGUUGCUGUCCAUAAACGUGUCAUGUAUUCAUGCUCUAGUAUGCAGUGUCUAGGCUCUCCAUUCUGAUUGAAUACCACCUCUGGACCCUCUGGACUGGCGCGUCGACUGUUAGUUGACUGGUGCCUAAACUAGUGUGUUGACAGGUGUGUAGAUUCGUGUGUAGACUGGUGUGUAGACUAGUGUGUUGACAGGUGUGUAGUCUAGUGUGUUGACUGGUGUCUCGCCUAGUGUGUUGACAUGUGUGUAGUUUAGUGUGUUGACUGGUGUCUCGACGAGUGUGUUGACAGGUGUGUAGAUUCGAGUGUAGACUGGUGUGUAGACUAGUGUGUUGACAGGUGUGUAGUCUAGUGUGUUGACUGGUGUCUCGACUAGUGCGUUGACAGGUGUGUAGAUUCGUGUGUAGACUGGUGUGUAGACUAGUGUGUUGACAGGUGUGUAGUCUAGUGUGUUGACUGGUGUCUCGACUAGUGCGUUGACAGGUGUGUAGAUUCGUGUGUAGACUGGUGUGUAGACUAGUGUGUUGACAGGUGUGUAGUCUAGUGUGUUGACUGGUGUCUCGACAAGUGUGUUGACAGAUGUGUAGAUUCAUGUGUUGACUGGUGUGUAGACUAGUGUGUUGACAGGUCGGAAGUCUAGUGUGUUGACUGGUGUCUCGACUAGUGUGUUGACAGGUGUGUAGAUUCGUGUGUUGACUGGUGUCUCGACUAGUGUGUUGACAGGUGUGUAGAUUCAUGUGUUGACUGUUGUGUAGACUAGUGUGUUGACUGGUGUGUAGACUAGUGUGUUGACAGGUGUUUAGUCUAGUGUGUUGACUGGUGUCUCGACUAGUGUGGUGACAGGUGUGUAGCCCCUUGUGUUGUCUGGUGUCCCGACUAGUGUGUUGACUUGUGUGUAUAUUCGUGUGUUGACUGGUGUCCCGACUGGUGUGUUUACAGGUGUGUAGACUCAUGUGUUGACUGGUGUCUCGACUAGUGUGUUGACAGAUGUGUAGAUUUGUGUGUUGACUGGUGCCUCAACUAGUGUGUUGACAGGUGUGUAGACUCGUGUGUUGACUGGUGUCUCGACUAGUGUGUUGACAGGUGUGUAGCCUCUUGUGUUGACUGGUGUCUCGACUAGUGCGUUGACAGGUGUGUAGAUUCGUGUGUAGACUGGUGUGUAGACUAGUGUGUUGACAGGUGUGUAGUCUAGUGUGUUGACUGGUGUCUCGACUGGUGUGUUGACUGGUGUCUCGACUGGUAUGUUGACAGGUGUGUAGACUCGUGUGUUGACUGGUGUCUCGACUAGUGUGUUGACAGAUGUGUAGAUUUGUGUGUUGACUGGUGCCUCAACUAGUGUGUUGACAGGUGUGUAGAUUUGUGUGUAGACUGGUGUGUAGACUAGUGUGUUGACAGGUGUGUAGAUUCGUGUGUUGACUGGUGUCCCGACUGGUGUGUUGACAGGUGUGUAGACUCGUGUGUUGACUGGUGUCUCGACUAGUGUGUUGACAGAUGUGUAGAUUUGUGUGUUGACUGGUGCCUCAACUAGUGUGUUGACAGAUGUGUAGAUUCGUGUGUUGACUGGUUCCCCGACUAGUGUGUUGAUAGGUGUGUAGUCUAGUGUGUUGACUGGUGUCUCAACUAGUGCGUUGACAGGUGUGUAGAUUCGUGUGUAGACUGGUGUGUAGUCUAGUGUGUUGACUGGUGACUCGACUAGUGUGUUGACAGGUGUGUAGAUUCAUGUGUUGACUGGUGUGUAGACUAGUGUGUUGACAGGUGUGUAGUCUAGUGUGUUGACUGGUGUCUCGACAAGUGUGUUGACAGGUGUGUAGAUUCAUGUGUUGACUGGUGUGUAGACUAGUGUGUUGACAGGUCGGUAGUCUAGUGUGUUGACUGGUGACUCGACUAGUGUGUUGACAGGUGUGUAGAUUCGUGUGUUGACUGGUGUGUAGACUAGUGUGUUGACUGGUGUGUAGACUAGUGUGUUGACAGGUGUGUAGACUAGUGUGUUGACAGGUGUGUAGCCUCAUGUGUUGACUUGUGUCCCGACUAGUGUGUUGACAGGUGUAUAGCCCCUUGUGUUGUCUGGUGUCCCGACUAGUGUGUUGACUUGUGUGUAGAUUCGUGUGUUGACUGGUGUCCCGACUGGUGUGUUGACAGGUGUGUAGACUCGUGUGUUGACUGGUGUCUCGACUAGUGUGUUGACAGGUGUGUAGCCUCUUGUGUUGACUGGUUCCCCGACUAGUGUGUUGACAGGUGUGUAGCCUCAUGUGUUGACUGGUGUCCUGACUAGUGUGUUGACAGAUGUGUAGAUUUGUGUGUUGUCUGGUGUCCCGACUAGUGUGUUGACUUGUGUGUAGAUUCGUGUGUUGACUGGUGUCCCGACUGGUGUGUUGACAGGUGUGUAGACUCGUGUGUUGACUGGUUCCCCGACUAGUGUGUUGACAGGUGUGUAGCCUCAUGUGUUGAUUGGUGUCCCGACUAGUGUGUUGACAGAUGUGUAGAUUCGUGUGUUGACUGGUGUCUCGAUUAGUGUGUUGACAGGUGUGUAGAUUCGUGUGUUGACUGGUGUCCCGACUGGUGUGUUGACAGGUGUGUAGACUCGUGUGUUGACUGGUUCCUCGACUAGUGUGUUGACAGAUGUGUAGAUUCGUGUGUUGACUGGUGCCUCAACUAGUGUGUUGGCAGGUGUGUAGAUUCAUGUGUUGACUGGUGUCUUGACUAGUGUGUUGACAGGUGUGUAGCCUCGUGUGUUGACUGGUUCCCCGACUAGUGUGUUGACAGCUGUGUAACAUGUAAGAUGAAAAACAUGAUGUGACCAUUGUUGAUGAAACAGCAAUAUACCCUUAGAGAUUGUUUUGGUCAAAUGGAUUAAGCAGAGUACAGAACAGUCUUUUGUGACCAGGAGGUCUCAGUAUUCAAGUAUCCAGAGGAUCAAAUUUAUUUUUGAUAUUUUCUUUUUUGUCAGCAAACAAGGAUUAAGUAAUUUUCUUUCUACAUGAUGUAUUUAUACUUAUUAUACUUAAACAUACACCACAGAACAAACGUAUACAGAAUACACAGAAUGUGCCAACAUUUACAGAGCAUAAUGUAAUAUGUGAUUGCAGUAUUUUUAUACAAACUAUUGGCUAAUUUGACACUUUAUUGUUCUAAUCACUCGUUUGUGUGGUGAAAUCAAACAUUAGUAUAUAAACUUCUUCAUAGAGAUUUCUUCAUCAGAAGUUGAAGUUUGUCCAUUGCAACAUUUCAUGAUCAAUAUUAUGAAUGAUUGGGGCAUUGAAGGACGUAAUGAACAGUAUUGUCAAAAUGGUGAGGCACACCAGCAAGAAAUUGUUUGUAUGAUGUUGAUUGUAAAUAUACCUGCAUACUGACUUCGCCAUAUUAUACCUCAGUCAGCCUGUAAUGUAAUGCAUUCAUGUUUAGUUUUCCACAAUAAAAGAAAUGACAUAAGUCAUGUUUUAUUGAUA